UACGAGUAUGAGAGUUUGAUCAUGGCUCAGAUUGAACGCUGGCGGCAUGCUUUACACAUGCAAGUCGAACGGCAGCGCGGGGCAACCUGGCGGCGAGUGGCGAACGGGUGAGUAAUAUAUCGGAACGUACCCAAGAGUGGGGGAUAACGUAGCGAAAGUUACGCUAAUACCGCAUACGAUCUAAGGAUGAAAGUGGGGGAUCGCAAAACCUCAUGCUCCUGGAGCGGCCGAUAUCUGAUUAGCUAGUUGGUGAGGUAAAGGCUCACCAAGGCGACGAUCAGUAGCUGGUCUGAGAGGACGACCAGCCACACUGGGACUGAGACACGGCCCAGACUCCUACGGGAGGCAGCAGUGGGGAAUUUUGGACAAUGGGCGCAAGCCUGAUCCAGCAAUGCCGCGUGAGUGAAGAAGGCCUUCGGGUUGUAAAGCUCUUUUGUCAGGGAAGAAACGGUUGAGGCUAAUAUCCUCGGCUAAUGACGGUACCUGAAGAAUAAGCACCGGCUAACUACGUGCCAGCAGCCG
rnacentral:rRNA from 1 species